GCUCCUGGGAGCCUUAUCUCAGAAGAAGGGGAAAAGAGGCAGUAUGCCUCUUGACCUGUGAAGAAAAAUAAAAAUCGGAAAGAAUGAGGAUUUCUCAAUUCUUCUUUACGAAAAUAUUUGAUUUAAGAAGAUCCAACGGUCCAAUCUUCGAUCCGUCUACGGAAACGUAAUCCUAAUACUCGGAUCUACAUUUCUACCGAUCAUUUUGAGGCUUUGUGUUAUUUGGAGCUUGCAAAGAUUCUCCAAACACUGGGUAUUAUUUGGGUAAAUUUUUGGCUAUACCUGCUGGAUUAUUUGACGGUACUUUUCAUGUUCUGAAACUUAAUGGCAAUAAUUUUACUUAAUGGAAAGAGAACUUGCUCUUUACAUUACGGUGUUUGGAAUUAGACCUGGCACUCCGGACGGAUGAACCACCCGCUUUAACGGCUACUAGUACUGCACUAGAGAUGGCUAAACAUGAAAGGUGGGAGCGAUCCAAUCGCCUCAGCUUAAUGUUUAUGCAAUCUCACAUUGCCAAAGGCAUUAGGGGUUCCAUGCCUGAAUGUUCUAAGGCUAAGGAUUUUUUGAAAGCCGUUGAAGCACAGUUUGUGAGUUCAACUAAAGCCAUGGCCAGCACUCUAAUGAAGAGAGUAUCAAGUCAAGCCUUCGAUAGUACCAAAGGUGUGCGUGAGCACAUCAUUUUUAUCUAUUUUAGAUAAUCAAAAUACACUUUGCUAGUUUAGCUAAUUAAUUUUAAAAUUACCCUAUAACCGAUUAUUUC